CUUUUAUAAACAGCCGACACUUGACCUGUUUUCCCUCCCAUCUCUUUCUCUGCACUUUCUUUUGGAGAAACCCUAACUCACAAGCCUUAUCCUCUCCAAACCUCACAACACAGACAACACCAUCAUCUUCACUCCCCUCUCCCUUUGCAAACACCACAUACUCAGUCACAACCUACAAAAAAAUCAAUGUUAUUUCACACCACAUCCACUCCCUCCCACCGUUUAUAUUCUGGCGACCGGAAUAACAGGCGGAGCCGCUUUACCGGCGACUGCCGGUGCAGUUCUCCGACAACAGUCGCACCCUCACACCCUCAUUCUUACCCCUCUCACUUCUUCGGUGAACGAGAGUGACAUUAUAAGCAGCAAUUGGAGAGAGAGAAUAAACAGGUCGGAGCCAGCGUCGAGCACCGACGAGCUGUGGCGGCGGCAGGCGACGACACCACCGUCUGCAGCGGUGAUGGUGGUGCAGCUGCUGAUGUUGUUCUUGUCGGGAAUCGGGUUUUAAUUUCAGGUCUCGUGGUUAGUUUUGGUUUCGGGUUUCGUUUGAUCUCGGCUCCUAGCUCGGUUCUUAGUUCGGUAACUUCACCGGGGAUUCGACGGAACUCGCACCGUCGUCGGAGGAUAACCGUUUCGUUCGUCCUUUUGGGUUUCGUAAUCUUUACUCGUGCGUCAUUUCAAGGGAUUCUUAUACGCAACCACUGUUGAUUAUUGAAGUAUGGAUGAUUGAUGAAACAAGUUUAGGGUGGCUAGAU